rnacentral:rRNA from 1 species
UACGGAGGGUGCAAGCGUUAUCCGGAUUCACUGGGUUUAAAGGGUGCGUAGGUGGGUUGGUAAGUCAGUGGUGAAAUCCCCGAGCUUAACUUGGGAACUGCCAUUGAUACUAUUAAUCUUGAAUACUGUGGAGGUCAGCGGAAUAUGUCAUGUAGCGGUGAAAUGCUUAGAUAUGACAUAGAACACCAAUUGCGAAGGCAGCUGGCUACACAAAUAUUGACACUGAGGCACGAAAGCGUGGGGAGCAAACAGG